AAAAAAAAAAUCCAAUAAUAUGGAAUAUUUAAUAUAUUUAGGAAAUCGCCCUCCAUCUCUUGUGUGUAAUUCGUACCUAAACAGUGAAAAUGCAACUUAUUGAUUGCUUUAAUUCUUCUUCUAUAGAGGGAAUGAACUGUACAGGAGUUGGAUUGGUCGUGUGAUACUCCCAACAUCUUCCAUUCACUCUCUGAACAAAUCUAAUACAGUAAAUUCAUCCUGGUCUCUUUUGUUAUUUGACAACCAAGAAUUAUUUCUAACGUUUUUUUUACUCCGGAAAAACAAAACAAAAAAACACACACGUGCAGAUGAAAAUGUUGUCAAUAAUUUCAAAAAUGGUAAACAAUAUCACUGUAUUAAGCACACAUACAGAAUAUAAAAAUGUUCAAUAAACUGACAAGACAGAGAGAAAUCAAAAAGUAGGUGAGGAUUAGGAUUCUCGUCAGUAGAAGAGGAAAGUUAUACCAAGGAUGAAGAAUGUAAUUAUCAAUAAUGAAUUAACAACAAUAACAGUUACAACACUCAACACUUCUCUUUUUAGUUCAACAGUGACAUUUCCAACGGAGAAUGGAACUGAAUAAAAAUUAUACUCAGAGGCUAAAACCCCCCAAAUAAGUGAAAAAUAAAUAAAGCAACUAAGAAAAGCAGUCACGUGUCCUUGUUAUGCAGUCACGUGUCCUUGUUAUGCAGUCAAGUGUCCUUGUUAUGCAGUCAAGUGUCCUUGUUAUGCAGUCACGUGUCCUUGUUAUGCAGUCAAGUGUCCUUGGUAUGCAGUCAAGUGUCCUUGGUAUGCAGUCACGUGUCCUUGGUAUGCAGUCAAGUGUCCUUGUUAUGCUAUUUGAAACCGUAGGGUUGUGUGAGGAGAGAAGAGGUGUGGCUAACUACUCCUAUGACACUGGUUUACUAAGCAUGGGUAUGUCCAGGGAGAUGUGGGGCUACAUCCAAAUGGCACACACACACACAUGUUUUGUUGUUGUAUUGUUUGUAUUAUGUGUUGUUUGUCAUUGUAUUUAA
rnacentral:lncRNA from 13 species